UAAUUUUUAGUAUAAGAUGUACAAAAGUUUUUGAUACUUUAAGAAACAGUUUGAUUCUGUUAAGAUUAA
rnacentral:tRNA from 1 species